rnacentral:rRNA from 1 species
CCCCGCCAUAGCAAACUCCGAAUACCGAAGAGUGCAAUCACGGGAGACAGACAUCGGGUGCUAACGUCCGGUGUCAAGAGGGAAACAACCCAGACCGCCAGCUAAGGUCCCUAAAUAUUGCUAAGUGGGAAACGAAGUGGGAAGGCUAAAACAGUCAGGAGGUUGGCUUAGAAGCAGCCACCCUUUAAAGAAAGCGUAAUAGCUCACUGAUCGAGUCGUCCUGCGCGGAAGAUGUAACGGGGCUAAGCAAUAUACCGAAGCUGCGGAUGCACGUAAGUGCAUGGUAGGAGAGCGUUCUGUAAGCCUGUGAAGGUGUCUUGUAAAGGAUGCUGGAGGUAUCAGAAGUGCGAAUGCUGACAUGAGUAGCGAUAAAGGGGGUGAAAGGCCCCCUCGCCGUAAGCCCAAGGUUUCCUACGCAACGUUCAUCGGCGUAGGGUGAGUCGGCCCCUAAGGCGAGGCAGAGAUGCGUAGCUGAUGGGAAGCAGGUUAAUAUUCCUGCACCGUCGUAUGAUGCGAUGGGGGGACGGAUCGCGGAAGGUUGUCCGGGUGUUGGAUGUCCCGGUCCCUGCAUUGGAGAUGGCACUUAGGCAAAUCCGGGUGCGUGAUUCAAGGGUGUGGGGCGAGCGACUUUAGGUCGCGAAGCAAUUGGAAGUGGUUCCAAGAAAAGCCUCUAAGCUUCAGUCAUACGAGACCGUACCGCAAACCGACACAGGUGGGCGAGAUGAGUAUUCUAAGGCGCUUGAGAGAACUCGGGAGAAGGAACUCGGCAAAUUGGUACCGUAACUUCGGGAUAAGGUACGCCCUUGUAGUUUGACUGGCUCGCGCCAGAAGGACGAAGGGGUUGCAAUAAAAUGGUGGCUGCGACUGUUUAAUAAAAACACAGCACUCUGCAAACACGAAAGUGGACGUAUAGGGUGUGACGCCUGCCCGGUGCCGGAAGAUUAAAUGAUGGGGUGCAAGCUCUUGAUUGAAGUCCCGGUAAACGGCGGCCGUAACUAUAACGGUCCUAAGGUAGCGAAAUUCCUUGUCGGGUAAGUUCCGACCUGCACGAAUGGCGUAACGAUGGCCACACUGUCUCCUCCCGAGACUCAGCGAAGUUGAAGUGUUUGUGAUGAUGCAAUCUCCCCGCGGCUAGACGGAAAGACCCCAUGAACCUUUACUGUAGCUUUGCAUUGGACUUUGAACCGAUCUGUGUAGGAUAGGUGGGAGGCUUUGAAACCGGGACGCUAGUUUCGGUGGAGCCGUCCUUGAAAUACCACCCUGGUUUGUUUGAGGUUCUAACCUUGGCCCGUGAAUCCGGGUCGGGGACAGUGCAUGGUAGGCAGUUUGACUGGGGCGGUCUCCUCCCAAAGUGUAACGGAGGAGUUCGAAGGUACGCUUGGUACGGUCGGACAUCGUACCUAAAGUGCAAUGGCAAAAGCGUGCUUAACUGCGAGACCGACAAGUCGAGCAGGUGCGAAAGCAGGACAUAGUGAUCCGGUGGUUCUGUAUGGAAGGGCCAUCGCUCAACGGAUAAAAGGUACUCUGGGGAUAACAGGCUGAUACCGCCCAAGAGUUCAUAUCGACGGCGGUGUUUGGCACCUCGAUGUCGGCUCAUCUCAUCCUGGGGCUGUAGCCGGUCCCAAGGGUAUGGCUGUUCGCCAUUUAAAGAGGUACGUGAGCUGGGUUUAAAACGUCGUGAGACAGUUUGGUCCCUAUCUGCCGUGGGCGUUGGAAUCUUGACGGGGGCUGCUCCUAGUACGAGAGGACCGGAGUGGACGUACCGCUGGUGUACCUGUUGUCUCGCCAGAGGCAUCGCAGGGUAGCUAUGUACGGAAGAGAUAACCGCUGAAAGCAUCUAAGCGGGAAACUUGCCUGAAGAUGAGGAUUCCCUGGAGACUUGAUCUCCCUGAAGGGUCGUUCGAGACCAGGACGUUGAUAGGCUGGGUGUGGAAGCGCAGUAAUGCGUUCAGCUAACCAGUACUAAUUGCCCGUGCGGCUUGAUC